ACUGAGCUGCUGUUAUGGAGGAAUGGGUGUUUAUCGAAGUAUUACGUAUCGAUUUUUUGCUUCUCUUUUUUUUUAACAGUGCGUAUUGUGUUCCACUUUAAAGAUGCGACACUUGACGAGCGCCACCGUAAGGACCACCUGGAUUGGCUACCUGUGUUGCUACGUCCCAGCAACAUUGCUGCUGCGCAUAUUCUUGGAUUACAUAAUCGAAUUGCCACAACUAUCAAGAAAUUGAAUAGACAAAAGUUAAUGCAAAAUUUUAAUUUUUAUUUGAUAUUUAAUUUUGCAUUUAUUUUACAAUGUUCGCAACCGACGCUAAGUCUAGCACACAUAAGGAAAUUCGGAACGAAAGGACUCAAAUGAGAACUUGAAUUUAAAAUAAGGGGUUGAUCUGAAUGACCGGACAAUAAAUUGAUGGGCAAACAGCAGAUGGUGAAUAGAGAUACAGAUGACCGUGAAGAUCCGAUAGAGUGGCAACCAAACUGCAACAAUUUCGUGUUUCUUAAGGUGAUGACAUCUGAUCCCCCAUCGUUUUCUUCCUGUUUACUAUACCCUACGUGGGCGUUUGGCUGGACAAUGCUUUACCUUCCCUUAUUUUAUGCAUUUUUUUUUUUAUCGUUAAAAGAAGCUUGUUUAGUAUACUAUUUAAAGAUCGUCGGUAUAGUAUAGGAUAUAACGAAUUUUUCUUUAAAAAAAAAAAUGCGAAGCCAUAGAUCCACGCGUGCGCGUUGUAAAUUGAGAAGGUCCGUCUCGAUCGGUCCAGCCAAUUUUGGGGGCAGUCUAGCCGGAAGUUUGUGCUCACCGAAGCGUAAUGGCUUGCCAUCAAAUGUUUUUUUUUUUGUUUGUUUUUUUCAAAAUUUUUGUAUUUGUUUGCUACCGAUAACCGUAAAUGUUAAAUGAUUAAAGGGACGUACAAGAGUUUUCUUUAACGGUCGAUGCUUUGUCAGUGAAUGUUUACGUGAAAUUAUGUUGGAAAAUGGGGUCACAAGACGCUUUUUCUUUAGAUAUUUGUAGACUAGUCUUUGUAGUUACGUGAACAGUUGUUUAGAAAGUGAGGUCAGUUGACUUUUGAAACGAAAACUGGAAAUUACAAAAUUAAAAACAAAUACAACGACCUGAAACCAAAACGAUGGUCAAAGCGAAGGAGUGGUGGAUCUGGUCGGAUGUCAACUCGACAGCAAAGAAAUGAAAAAGAAAAUUAAAGAAAAAAAAAGGAGAGGGCGAGUUUUUUUCUUGCAUAGAAAAAAGAGACACGUGACAUCCAUUUUCUUUACUUCUCCUCCGAUUUCGAUCCGGAAGCAAUGGACAGCAGACGACUAUAGUGACAUACCGAAACAGUCUAGAUUUUGUUUGCUGGUUCGGCCACUUUAAUCAAGUUCAUAUUCAUCUGUGGCGUCAUUUAAAUUGCUGUGUUUAAAGUUACCGAAAUGGAAUCAAAAUAAAAAGUAGAACAAUG